UCAAUUUCAUCCAAUUGAGACUGCCACAUUAGAAAUUGCUGACGUGACUAUCUGGGUGGGGCAUAAAUAAAUUGAUGUGUGUAAAAAAAAUAAUUUUUUAUUUUGAGAUUAAACAAUUUUAAUAUAUUGAAGGAUAAAAUGGUUAUACUCCUUUCAUUAAUACAUUUAGACUGAUUAAAAGAUCAAACGUUUGUAAACAAACAGAAUCGAUUAAAGAUCAAGCUCCAAAAACGAUCGAAAAAAAUCCUAGCUUUGAGAAUCACAAAUUGCUCAAGAAUUCCGGCAAACAAGACCACCCACAGAUCUUGUCCUCAAAGUUGAGAUCAGUGACCUCAUCUCUCUUCCCAUGCCCAUGACCACCAUCGUCGCCGUCUCCGGGUAAGCCUCCGCCAAAUAAGAAUAACUAUUAAUGUCUCAAAACAAAUCCAAAUUCAUCAAUAUGAUAAACAAUACAAGCAUAUCUACAAAAAACAAACCAACCUGCUGCAGAGUCUUGGACACGAUUGAAGUUUUAAAUUUAGACUCAAAAUUUAAACCUCUAUAGAAGUUAUAAGAUAUAUUUAAAGAGGAGUAACCAGCACAUAUGGAUGUCGACACCGACGCCGACGAGACUAGGUAGCAAUUUUUUCUUUGCCUUUUGACUUCUUUUUGGAAGAGAGACUAUGUUUAGCCAUAUAAGAGGGUUUUGAAGGUUCAUGCACCUCUGGCUCUGUUGCAUGUUGUUGAGAAUCAAACCUAUCUUGGUUGGAAAAUAUAAAAGAUAAAGUGAUGUUGUCAUCAGACUCGGACAAAUCUUUUAAUCGCUUGGAGUGUCGAGUUUUCAUCGUUAUUGGAUUUGAGGAAUAGAGCUUAAGGAAGAGGAUGAUUGCAAACUGAAUAGAGAUGAGAACGAUUUUGGGUGAAUUGGUAAAGUAAAAGUGAAAUCUAUUUUGACCACAAGUUUUUU
rnacentral:lncRNA from 1 species